GUUCCUAUAGCCCAAUGGCAGAGGCAGCAGACUUAAAAUCUGUCAAGUGUCGGUUCGAGUCCGACUAGGAAUAC
rnacentral:tRNA from 1 species